rnacentral:rRNA from 1 species
AUUGAACGCUGGCGGCAUGCCUUACACAUGCAAGUCGAACGGCAGCACGGGAGCUUGCUCCUGGUGGCGAGUGGCGAACGGGUGAGUAAUACAUCGGAACGUACCCUGAAGUGGGGGAUAACGUAGCGAAAGUUACGCCAAUACCGCAUAUUCUGUGAGCAGGAAAGAGGGGGAUCGCAAGACCUCUUGCUUUAGGAGCGGCCGAUGUCGGAUUAGCUAGUUGGUGAGGUAAAGGCUCACCAAGGCGACGAUCCGUAGCGGGUCUGAGAGGAUGAUCCGCCACACUGGGACUGAGACACGGCCCAGACUCCUACGGGAGGCAGCAGUGGGGAAUUUUGGACAAUGGGCGCAAGCCUGAUCCAGCCAUGCCGCGUGAGUGAAGAAGGCC